rnacentral:RNase_MRP_RNA from 1 species
AGGCAUUCUGAAAACCUGCUCACUAGGCUACAUGCAGAGGACCUGGUUUCUCAUCUGUGCCUAGGGGAAAGUCCCCGGACGCGUGGCAGAAAGUGCCCGGCGUGAUCGCCCGCGAUGGUUCGCGCGUCACCGCUUUCAGGGCCGAGACGCUCCGCUUAGAGCCGAGCCCGGUGACAGCGAAGCUACUUUGUCAGUGCAAUAGUAACGCAGGUAAUGUCUGUUCAUCAACAGAACGGGGCUCAUUCCCAGAAUGCC